rnacentral:rRNA from 1 species
UACAGAGGUGGCAAGCGUUGUUCGGAAUUACUGGGCGUAAAGCGUGCGUAGACGGUUAUUUAAGUCAGGUGUGAAAUCCCCGGGCUCAACCUGGGAACUGCAUUUGUGACUGCACAGCUGGAGUGCGGCAGAGGGGGAUGGAAUUCCGCGUGUAGCAGUGAAAUGCGUAGAUAUGCGGAGGAACACCGAUGGCGAAGGCAAUCCCCUGGGCCUGCACUGACGCUCAUGCACGAAAGCGUGGGGAGCAAACAGG